GAACCUCUUUUGACAAAAAUCACUUCGCCUUGAGCUGGUUGGAGAAGUCAGACUUGAUUUUAGGAAGAAAACCACAUAUAGCACACAGUCACAUUUUUGUUUUGAGGGGAAAGAGUGCAAAAUCUGUGUUUUAUAAUCCUUUUGCUUUCAAAUUUAAAAAUUAUUCUUUUUCUUUUUCUUUCCAGUUCUAAUUUCCCCCUGUCCAUAUUGAUCAAAAUUUUGAUUUGAGCUUUGAUGUUUAAGCACAAACCUAAAAAAUGUAAAAAAAAAUAAAAUAAUAAACUGUAUAAACCUAUAGCUUUUUAAUGCGAUUGAAACUACAUUUGGAUCCGUGGCUAACAUUAUUUUAGUCUUGUACUGUACCAUCUGAGUUCAAUUUAACAGUACUUCUUAGGAUUUAACAUGGUAAUUCCAACUUUAUUUUGAAUUUAAGAGACAGUUGCAUUUUUUUAUGACAACAGAUUGCAAUAAUGAUCCACUAUUUAUGAAUAAUAUUUUAUGUGAUGUUUAUUAAUUGGUUCUAAAUGCAGGUAUGGUAAUACACAUAGUCAAUGAAGGGAUUUGUCUGUAAAUUGAACUUGGAUCUAUACUACAGUUUUAUAUACAUGUCACAAUACUUUAUUUCAGUAUAUCAUUAUUUCUUUAACUGAAGGCAAAUACAGGUAAAUAUGGUUACAUUUCUUAUUUAACAGAUUGUAUAAGAAUUUUGUAGUGUUUACGUGGUAUUAUCAGUUUAAAAAUGUCCUGUUAUCUGUUACUGUAACUUGACUCCUGACAAUAUAUUAUUUGAUUUUUUAAAUUUUUUUAUUUUAUUCAAUAUUUAAUUUAUUCUACUAACCCCCAUAGUCUCUGCUUUGAAAUACCACCAGAGAUUUGAAUUACUCUGUUCUCUGUGGCUCAAUGUAGCCAUUUCUUUGCACCAUAAGACUAUGUGUUUCCCCUUCUUAACUUGUUUUUACUUUGUGUCCUGUCCCUAUCAAUGCUCCAGCUAUAUAUUAAGGGUCUGUUUAUUUCAGGGGUCCUCAGACUCAACCCUGGAGUCUGGUGAGCCACAGGAUUGCCACAGAAACCAGUGUAGACCCAUUUAACUCACUGAGCUGAGGUCGCUGUGCAGUCAAUGUGGCUAUAACUGAUCAAUUAAGUGCUGAGUAAUAACUCCAUAAUACUGAACAGUCUGUGCCUCUCUAGCACCAUGGUUGGGGACCUCUACUUCAUUCUGUCACAAACCAUCACCUUAGUUUACUUAUUAUAUAUCUUAAAACAAGCCCUUAACAUAAAGUAUGACCUUGAUAUUAUUGUUUAAGUUUUAACUUGCCUCCCGUGCCUCUAAAUGACUGAUUCUUUUACUCCGCAGGUUUGUGCUGCUGUGCUUUUUUUGUCCAGAAAUGUUGUGUGCAUUUUAUUUUAUAUUGGUUUUUUAUUUGUAGCUUCAGUUUUGCCACAGAUCCAAGAUUCUGUCCUUAACUUUGCCUUAUCAAUUGUGACAAAUUGUGAUAAAACUGAUGAAGAAACACAUGUAGGUGUAGCACGCAAAUGUUGAGUAAAGAGUGUUUUAAAAGUGUGCCUAAAUUUCUUAACAUUAGAGUCGCCAACUUGCACGUCAUUAUAGAACAUUUAAAAAGUUGAAUUAUUUCAUUAGUGUUUAUGCUUUUUCCAUCCUGCCAUGACUUUUUCAAUAGCCAUACUGUAAGUUGUAAAUGUUAUGGCAUUAGCCUGUAUACCAUUUACAACUCCAAACAACACCAUAUAUAGUCUAAUAGAGAUAACAUCAGACUAAGUAAUUUAUUUUCAUAUGGGUGCUAUCUAAUUUGUCUAGAUUUUAUUCCAAUAAGGCUCCUGAUUGUGUUUAUAGUGUUGCGGCAGGUGGCUGUGUGACUUUGGAAACAUAAAUUUUUCUGAAAAUAGAUAGUAUGUGGAGACAAAGUUUUUUGAACUGCUGAAAGUGUGCAAUACAUACCAGUACCAUUUUGAGAAGUUGGUUGCCAGAUUAUUGUUUAUUGUUGAUUUAUAGCAUUUUCAGCUGCCUAUGGAUGGUUGAGAGCUGGGCCUUGGCCGUUAUCACAUAGUGCGCUAUAUGGAUGGAGGACCCUUCAGGGAGA